rnacentral:rRNA from 1 species
CCUACGGGGUGCUGCAGUGAGGAAUAUUGGUCAAUGGCCGGAAGGCUGAACCAGCCAUGCCGCGUGAAGGUCAGUGCCCUAUGGGCGUUAAACUUCUUUUGUGCGGGAGCAAUAAUGGUCACGUGUGGCCAGACGAGAGUACCGUACGAAUAAGCAUCGGCUAACUCCGUGCCAGCAGCCGCGGUAAUACGGGGGAUGCAAGCGUUAUCCGGAUUUAUUGGGUUUAAAGGGUGCGUAGGCUGUGAGGUAAGUCAGCGGUGAAAUGCCCCCGCUCAACGGGGUGAAGUGCCAUUGAUACUGCCUGGCUGGAAUGCGGAUGCCGUGGGAGGAAUGUGUGGUGUAGCGGUGAAAUGCAUAGAUAUCACACAGAACACCGAUUGCGAAGGCAUCUCACGAAUCCGCGAUUGACGCUGAUGCACGAAAGCGUGGGUAUCAAACAGGAUUAGAUACCCGAGUAGUC